rnacentral:rRNA from 1 species
UUCCUACGGGGCGCAGCAGUGAGGAAUAUUGGUCAAUGGGCGCGAGCCUGAACCAGCCAAGUAGCGUGAAGGAUGACUGCCCUACGGGUUGUAAACUUCUUUUAUAAAGGAAUAAAGUGAGGCACGUGUGCCUUUUUGUAUGUACUUUAUGAAUAAGGAUCGGCUAACUCCGUGCCAGCAGCCGCGGUAAUACGGAGGAUCCGAGCGUUAUCCGGAUUUAUUGGGUUUAAAGGGAGCGUAGGCCGGCUUUUAAGUCAGCUGUGAAAGUCCGCGGCUCAACCGUGGAAUUGCAGUUGAAACUGGAG